rnacentral:rRNA from 1 species
CAACGACUCUCGGCAACGGAUAUCUCGGCUCUCGCAUCGAUGAAGAACGUAGCGAACUGCGAUACUUGGUGUGAAUUGCAGAAUCCCGUGAACCAUCGAGUCUUUGAACGCAAGUUGCGCCCGAAACCGUUCGGUCGAGGGCACGUUUGCCUGGGUGUCA